ACUCGAUAAUCCACGUAUACUCAACCUUCUCUAGAUAUUACAGCAUGUGUACUGCCGUUGUAAGCAUACCUUUAAAAGAAUAAGUGUGCCGCUAUGACUAAGUAAGCUCAUAUACAUCAGGUCAAAGUGCAGCCAAUAAGAAGGUGAUGAUGGGUUACAACCCAAAAACAGAAUAUCAAAUAAGAGAUUAAAAAUCUUAAGAAAGUGGACUUGGCCGUAAUCAAUUUACAAGUUAAAAAAAUGAAUAACACACCUAAGACAUGCACACAUCGCCCGUCACUCUAUCCUAAAGGUUAGAUAAGUCGUAACAAAGUAGGUGUAAUGGAAACUGCACCUGUCGAAGUAUAGCAUAUAUAAUGCUUUUUACUUACACUAAAAACAAAGUUAAAUAACUUACUUCGCCCAUGUAACACAACCCUAUAAAAUAACAAAUAAUGGAAACAACUUAACAAACAUAACAAAUAAUAAAGUACAGAAAUGGAAAUAAUAAUUAAUAAAAGUAAAUCUUAACAAAUGUACCUUGUGCAUUAUGGUUUUACAAGACAACAAUUAAAAACACCAAUCCCGAAUUCUAAAUGAGAUGUUAAACUGCUGUUCUGAACCCACUAAUAGCUGUAGAAAAAGCUUUAAAAGACAGUUUAACAGAGGCUACAUACCAUCCGCAUAAGAAUAUAGCUGGUUUUCAACAAACAUUAUACAUUAAAACAUAUAAAUAUUUUAUAUUGUAAUAUUAUUGAGGAUAAGCCCAAUAAUCUAAGCAAUACUUAAAUAAAUCUAUCAUCUACCAUAGGCCUAAAAUCAGCCAAUUAAAAUACUUUAUCGUAACAUGUACUGAUAAAAUAUAUAACAUAAUAUGCUAAAUAAAGUUGAAAUAAUGAAAAAACUUUAUUCUUCACUUAUACUAUGUAAAAAUAAGUAUUAUAAAAAAAUAUCAAUAAUAGUCCAGAAGUAUCAAUAAAUAAAUGAUAAUAAUUAAUUAAGGAACUCGGCAAACUACUAUUUCGACUGUUUAACAAAAACAUUGUCUCAUGUAUAAAAUACGAGAUAAUACCUGCCCAG
rnacentral:rRNA from 1 species